UGAACGCUGGCGGCAGGCUUAACACAUGCAAGUCGAGCGGGGGAAGGUAGCUUGCUACCGGACCUAGCGGCGGACGGGUGAGUAAUGCUUAGGAAUCUGCCUAUUAGUGGGGGACAACAUCUCGAAAGGGAUGCUAAUACCGCAUACGUCCUACGGGAGAAAGCAGGGGAUCUUCGGACCUUGCGCUAAUAGAUGAGCCUAAGUCGGAUUAGCUAGUUGGUGGGGUAAAGGCCUACCAAGGCGACGAUCUGUAGCGGGUCUGAGAGGAUGAUCCGCCACACUGGGACUGAGACACGGCCCAGACUCCUACGGGAGGCAGCAGUGGGGAAUAUUGGACAAUGGGGGGAACCCUGAUCCAGCCAUGCCGCGUGUGUGAAGAAGGCCUUAUGGUUGUAAAGCACUUUAAGCGAGGAGGAGGCUACUUUAGUUAAUACCUAGAGAUAGUGGACGUUACUCGCAGAAUAAGCACCGGCUAACUCUGUGCCAGCAGCCGCGGUAAUACAGAGGGUGCGAGCGUUAAUCGGAUUUACUGGGCGUAAAGCGUGCGUAGGCGGCUUAUUAAGUCGGAUGUGAAAUCCCCCGAGCUUAACUUGGGAAUUGCAUUCGAUACUGGUGAGCUAGAGUAUGGGGAGAGGAUGGGUAGAAUUCCAGGUGUAGCGGUGAAAUGCGUAGAGAUCUGGGAGGAAUACCGAUGG
rnacentral:rRNA from 1 species